GACGAACGCUGGCGGCGUGCUUAACAUAUGCAAGUCGAACGGAAAGGCCCUGCUUUUGUGGGGUGCUCGAGUGGCGAACGGGUGAGUAACACGUGAGUAACCUGCCCUGGACUUUGGGAUAACUUCAGGAAACUGGGGCUAAUACCUGAUAGGAGCUCCUGCUGCAUGGUGGGGGUUGGAAAGUUUCGGCGGUUGGGGAUGUACUCGCGGCUUAUCAGCUUGUUGGUGGGGUAGUGGCUUACCAAGGCUUUGACGGGUAGCCUGCCUGGGAGGGUGACCGGGCACAUUGGGACUGAGAUACGGACCAGACUCGUACGGGAGGCAGCAGUGGGGAAUAUUGCACAAUGGGGGGAAGCCUGAUGCAGCAACGCCGCGUGCGGGAUGAAGGCCUUCGGGUUGUAAACCGCUUUCGCCUGUGACGAAGCGUGAGUGACGGUAAUGGGUAAAGAAGCACCGGCUAACUACGUG
rnacentral:rRNA from 1 species